ACUCAAAUGAAUUGACGGGGGCCUGCACAAGCGGUGGAGUAUGUGGCUUAAUUCGAUGCAACGCGAAGAACCUUACCUGGCCUUGACAUGCACGUAGUAGAAGGGUGAAAGCCCGACGAGGUAGCAAUACCAGCGUGCACAGGUGCUGCAUGGCUGUCGUCAGCUCGUGUCGUGAGAUGUUGGGUUAAGUCCCGCAACGAGCGCAACCCUUAUGUCCUGUUGCAAUCCGAACGAGAGUUUGGAGCACUCUGGACAGACUGCCUCGCUUAAACGAGGAGGAAGGUGGGGAUGACGUCAAGUCAGUAUGGCCCUUACGGCCAGGGCUGCACACGUACUACAAUGCUCGGCACAAAGGGAAGCAAGACUGUAAAGUGGAGCAAAUCCCCAAAAACCGAGCCCAGUUCAGAUUGUCGUCUGCAACUCGACGGCAUGAAGCUGGAAUCGCUAGUAAUGGCGCAUCAGCUACGGCGCCGUGAAUACGUUCCCAGGCCUUGUACACACCGCCCGU
rnacentral:rRNA from 1 species